rnacentral:rRNA from 1 species
AUUGAACGCUGGCGGCAGGCUUAACACAUGCAAGUCGAACGAGCGGCGGACGGGUGAGUAAUGUUUGGGGAUCUACCUUAUGGAGGGGGAUAACUACGGGAAACUGUAGCUAAUACCGCGUACCAUAGGAUGAGCCCAAGUGGGAUUAGGUAGUUGGUAAGGUAAAGGCUCACCAAGCCGACGAUCUCUAGCUGGUCUGAGAGGAUGACCAGCCACACUGGGACUGAGACACGGCCCAGACUCCUACGGGAGGCAGCAGUGGGGAAUAUUGCGCAAUGGGGGCAACCUGACGCAGCCAUGCCGCGUGAAUGAAGAAGGCCUUCGGGUUGUAAAGUACUUUCGGUCGCGAGGCGUUACCUACAGAAGAAGCACCGGCUAACUCCGUGCCAGCAGCCGCGGUAAUUC